GACAGAGGGGGCAAGCGUUGCUCGGAAUUACUGGGCGUAAAGGGCGCGUAGGCGGGAUGGCAAGUCGGUCGUGAAAUCCCUCGGCUCAACCGAGGAACGUCGAUCGAUACUGCUGUUCUUGAGGAUUGCAGAGGAGACUGGAAUUCCCGGUGUAGCGGUGAAAUGCGCAGAUAUCGGGAGGAACACCAAUGGCGAAGGCAGCUCGCUGGGACGUUACUGACGCUGAGACGCGAAAGCGUGGGGAGCAAACAGG
rnacentral:rRNA from 1 species